UCCAGCCAACUGUGUUCCCAUGUAGAACUGCAGCCCAGUGUAGCCAGUACGGAAGAUUUCUCAGAAAAAGCCGGAGAUCUCAAUGCUGGCUUCUUCCCUCAGCCUCGUCCGACCCCAGCCUGGGUUCAAUGAACAUUCGGUAAAGGAACACGGAAUGUCAAGCGCAUUAGAGACAACCUGGAGACACAUUCCUCUUGCGAUUGUUUCUUCUUCUCCCUCCCAGAAACUUUGAAGUUUUUCUACAUGACACCAGGACCAAUGUCUUUUUUUAAUUACACAGAAAUGAAAGAAAAAAAGUGUGUUGUAUCGUUAACCAAAUAUAUGAAAUC